rnacentral:ribozyme from 1 species
GCUGCUUGGAAAAUGCACACCGCUACGUGGUGAGUAACAGGUAACGUUCAAUGAACGGCAAAGAUGCAAAA